CCUACGGGUGGCAGCAGUGAGGAAUAUUGGUCAAUGGUCGGGAGACUGAACCAGCCAAGCCGCGUGAGGGAUGAAGGUACAGAGUAUCGUAAACCUCUUUUGUCAGGGAACAAAGGCGGGGACGUGUCCCCGGAUGAGUGUACCUGAAGAAAAAGCAUCGGCAAACUCCGUUCCAGCAGCCGCGGUAAUACGGGGGAUGCGCGCGUUAUCCGGAUUUAUUGGGUUAAAGGGGGUCGCAGGCGGUCUGUUAAGUCAGCGGUAAAAGCCCGGGGCGCAACCCCGGCCCGCCGUUGAAACUGGCAGUCUCGAGUUGGAGAGAAGUAUGCGGAAUGCGCGGUGUAGCGGUGAAAUGCAUAGAUAUCGCGCAGAACUCCGAUUGCGAAGGCAGCAUGCCGGCUCCACACUGACGCUGAGGCACGAAAGCGUGGGUAUCGAACAGGAUUAGAUACCCUGGUAGUC
rnacentral:rRNA from 1 species